rnacentral:rRNA from 1 species
GAUCAUGGCUCAGAUUGAACGCUGGCGGCAUGCCUUACACAUGCAAGUCGAACGGCAGCACGGGAGCUUGCUCCUGGUGGCGAGUGGCGAACGGGUGAGUAAUACAUCGGAACGUACCCUGAAGUGGGGGAUAACGUAGCGAAAGUUACGCUAAUACCGCAUAUUCUGUGAGCAGGAAAGAGGGGGAUCGCAAGACCUCUUGCUUUAGGAGCGGCCGAUGUCGGAUUAGCUAGUUGGUGAGGUAAAGGCUCACCAAGGCGACGAUCCGUAGCGGGUCUGAGAGGAUGAUCCGCCACACUGGGACUGAGACACGGCCCAGACUCCUACGGGAGGCAGCAGUGGGGAAUUUUGGACAAUGGGCGCAAGCCUGAUCCAGCCAUGCCGCGUGAGUGAAGAAGGCCUUCGGGUUGUAAAGCUCUUUCGGUGGGGAAGAAAUUGCUUCGGUUAAUACCUGGAGUAGAUGACGGUACCUGCAGAAGAAGCACCGGCUAACUACGUG